ACUGCAGCAUUUGUCCUGUUUUAUUACAGUGUAGCUUGAAGGGAAGAAGUCAGAACUGCCUGGGAUAGCAGAAACAUGAAAAAAUCAAUGCCUUGUGCAGAGAAUAAACAUGAAGGGGAAAAACUUGGAAAAAACCCCUCCUCAUAAAAGGUGUCAAUUAGCUGGUUAAUCAGAAAAGAGAGUAGAUAUAAGCUUUCAUGGAAAAAUGUAGUAAUGACUGUUCCUUGAAAGAAGGUAAACGUAUCUUUGAGUAAUGGUUGGCUGGAAAAAUAGUGGACAGACUGAGGGAAAAUCCUAAAUAUGUUUGUUUUGAGGAGACUAACAAAUAGUGAUGCAGUCUUCUGAUUUUGAUUUUUUUUCUUCUGAAUGUAUUUUAUUAAACUGAGGGGAGAAAACUUAAACCCCUGGUAAACCCAGAUGAGGAUUUUUCCUUGAACAAGAAUAACAUACACACAAAUGUCUAGCUCUAUUUUAGAUUCCUAAAUUUUAGACUCCUCAGAAAUGGUUAAACACAUGGUUUAAAAAAAGAUAAUUAUUAUCCUGGCUCUGCAGUAGGUUUAGAAUUAAUCUGUUUUAUUUCUGGAAACAAUGUGGCCUUACUGUGGUCAUGUUAGAAAGAGGAGUGAGCUGUUAUGCAAACAGGCUACAGGGAGCUGCAGCCAUUCCCGGGGGGGCUCGGUGCAUCCCGGUGUCCAGCUCAGCUGGAUGGAGAUAAAGCAAAGGCAGGCUUGAAAGAGGAGCAUUAUGCAGUUAAUCUCAUGCUGGCUCUAAAACUAACAUCUCUGACAGAAAGGGUCACAACAAAGGAGUGAUACAGAGAAAAGGGUGAGGAGCAUGAAAUGAGUGAGGUGUCACCGUUCAAUGAGCAAUUUGAACUGACACAUGCAAUUGUUUGGGGUGGACAGUAUCUGACUCUGGCAAACUGCAUAGGAUGGGUAUGUUCUCUGCAAGGAGCAGGGUAUAGCUCCUAGUAUGAAUAAUGGAAAAUGUCUCCCACCUUCCUUGUUCAUCUUCCUGGUAGCUCAUAGCUUUGCAUCAUUGUAAAUUCAGCAGGUGCCAUUUUUACUACUGUUAUUCUCAGUAUUUUAUUGCUACUGAAAUAAUUGGGGCUUUCUUUAUGGAACAUUAUCCUCAAUGACAGGUGAAUCUCAAGUAUCUGGAAUUUCAUUUAUUUUGGACAGGCAUCCUAAUAUUUAGAUGAACCUUUGAAUCAUACAUGAACUGGAAGUCUCUGAACCUGAGCUGAAAAUGUGACAAGUACAACAUUCUUCACGAGUUUUCAAACACUUUUGAUUUGAGUUGCACCUAGAAAUACAGAGAGAGCAAUGUCCCUAUAGUAUGCUGGCAUUUCAAGUGGGGGAAAAAAGAAAGGCUUAAAAGUUUGUCCAGAGUGCAGAAGAAUAAAGUCCAUCUUACUAUAUGCAGAAUUUUAAAAUUAGUAAGGGGGUAGUGUAUUUUUCUAGUUUAAAAAGUUGAGAUUUUAUAUCUUAAGAGGAAAAAAAGUUGUCUAAAAGUACCUUGAUGAGUGAAAAUCAUCCUGUCUAAUUACAGACUUCUAAAAGUUGGAUAUCUGAGUCUGCUCUCCCUUUAUAGUUAAUAGAAUCAUCUUCAGAACACCAUUUGCUGACCUGUCUUAGAUGCCUAUCUUAGGAUGAGAUGAAUGGCUCUCUGGAGACCUCUGUCUCUUGAAAAGAACUGAGGAUAACAACAUUUUCAAAACACUAAGGCUGUGAAAAAGAAUUUCAAAAAACUUUUAAUCAGACCAUGUGGAAGACAACUAGAGUGAUUCCUGGUAUUUGCAGGGAUCAAGGGCAGGAGCUGUGGAAAGCAGUGUUUCUCUUCAGUUUUGUAUUUAUUUAUGGGUUUAUUAUUGGUAUGACUGAAAAGAACGCAGGUAGCAAUUUGUUCCACAUCAGUUUCAAAAUAACUUAGGGAAAAAAUAUUGUAUUCCAGUCCAAAUAUUUGUUCCUUUUUUAUUUUAUCCCAUUAUUUCUGGACUUCUAGCUGUCUGAAUCUAAGAAUUCAGUGAUGAUACCCAGAUAAUGAAGUGCAAAUAGAUUAUGGUGAUAGAUUUUUUUUUUUUUUUGCCCUUGACAAUUUCAGAACUACUUUGCUGACUGCUUGAUCUCAAUUUUUUGUAACUUCUAAAAUCAUAAAAUCUUAGAAUACCAUGAGCUGGAAGUGACUCACAAGGAUCAUUGAAGUCUAACUCCUGAUCCUGCACAGGACAGCCCCAAGAAUCACACCACAUGCCUAAAAUAGUUGUAUAGCUUUGAAGAGAUGUUAUUUUAAAUAUUUUUCCCCAACAAUGUAGACAUAAAGGUCUCCUUUUUUCCUCUUUAACAUAGACUGACCUUGAGCUCUGAAUCAGCACUAUAUAUAUAUAUUCAGAAGCCAGUGACAGCUUUAUUUAUUAUGCAAAAUCCAGGAUGAGAACAAAUUUGGGGCUAUAUUGCACUGGAAAAUGCCAAACCCCAGUUUUUUAACUGGAUCCACAGUGUAAGUUGUAUUGCAGUUGGUGAGACCAAGCCAUCUUACAGUUACUGAAAGAAUGUUUUAGGUAAUUUAGAGACCUCAGGGCAUUUACCAUUCACACCUUUCACUUCCCAUGCUGUAGGUACAGCUAUGCAGUUAUCUAGUUUGGCAGUCAGGAGACAAACAAUGCUUCAUUUCUGUGACUGUGGAUACUGAUAGUUGUGUAUGUCAAAGCAAAUUGUGUAUGCUGUUCUACCAGCAUGGCUUGUGUCAGAAAUGGUGUGGCCAGCAGGACUGGGACAGUGAUCAUCCCACUGCCCUCAGCUCUGGUGAGGCCACACCUCAGAGCCAGUCCUCAGUUUUGGGCCCCUCGCUACAAGAAAGAUGCUGAUAUGCUGGAGCAUGUCCAAAGUAGGGCAGAGGAGCUGGUGACAGGUUGGGAGCACAAGUCCUAUCAGGAGUGCUGAGGAAGCUUAGCCAGGAGAAAAGGAGCCUCAGGGGGACCACCACAACUACCUGAAAUGAGGUUGUAGUGAGGCAGGGGGUCAGUCUCUUCUCCCAGAUAACAAGUGACAGGAUGAGAGGAAAUGGCCUCAGGUUGCAGAAAGGGACAUUCAGGUUGGGUAUUAGGAAAAUUUUCUUCACAGAAAUGGUAGCCAGGCAUUGGAAUAGCCUACACAGGAAAGUGGUUGAGUCACCACCCCUGGUGGUAUUAGAAAGAUGUGUACACGUGGCACUGAGGGACAUGAUUUAGUGGUGGACAUGGCAGUGCUGGGUUAAGGGUUGGGCUCAAUGAUUGUACAGGUCUUUUCCAACUUAGAUAUUUCUGUGAUUCUGUUUGACUUUCAGUCCAGCCUGCAGGGGGCAGGAAUGUUAGCAUGCUCAGAACAUGGUAAACUUCGAAUGUUCUAAAAGAUCUCUGGAAAACACUAAGGGUCUUAACUGUAAGAGGUAGUCAAUCCUGAAGUGGUUGAGUGGAAUGGUAAACAGGUUUUACAUGUAAAUGUUUAGAAUAUGCCCCAAAACUCCUGUGUGACAAUGCUUCUCAAGUAAUGAGGUUAGCCAUUUGCCUCAUGUUAACUUUAACCACAUUCUCCCAUUGAUGGAAUUCUCAGGCAAGCUGAAGAGCACACUGUCACAGUGGGCAUGCAGAGAAUGAAAGCCAUGCAUGAAAAAGAGCUCCCAUCCACCAUCCCUGCCCAUAAAGUGAGACCACCACGCUCACAGGAGGCCGCAGAGGGAACAUCAGCUGCCAGAUGAGGGAGUAAACCUGAGUGGCACCCGUCCAGGAUAAAGGAGGAGUCUGAAAGAUUGACAGCUGGAGAGAUAUUUUCCUGUGUCAGUAUGUGCGGGGAUGUUGAGCAAUUUCUCUGGAGAGGACUGAUGCUACUUAUUUGUAUCCCACUAGCAACCUCCCCUGCUACCUGCUGCAGCUGGCCAAGGCUGGAACUCGGCAAGCACUCAUAUGUCUUUUCCAUUUGUUUAAAGCUCAUUAGCAUCCAUUGAGCUGCGCUGUUCCAGCUUCAAUAUAUCAACCUUUACAAAACAUUAGUGCUGUACUGUUGAGGUAAAAGAAAACUAAGUCUCGUUUGAAAUACAAACGUGUAAUGAAAUGCAGCCUUUUGCCCCCCCUUCAGAUCCCAGGGACUGAUGACAGGAUGUCGGUAAAACCCCAGGCAUGCUGUGAAACUCUGACGUCUUUGCUAAGCUGUACCUGUGGAACCACAGCAGCUCUGCAGUAAAACCCACCAUGAAAUCACAGAAAUAUACUGAAGAACUCUCUGCAAUGGCCACCAAUUCUGCUGUCAAACACUAGAAACUGAUGCUUGAUUAGCAAGACUGCAGGUCUGCCCAGUUCCUGCAUUCAGCUCCUGCAUCCAGAACAAGGGAGCAAGCUGGCCCCAUAGCAGUUGCCCAUCUGCCUUGGAGUUCAUGGAGGGGAGGAAGGGCAGAGUUUUGCUCGUAAAGAAAGUAUUCCGAAUUCUUGAACAUUAUUUUAAUAUGCUCCAGAAUAUACUAGCUUUUUCACUGGUGACCUAAAAAGACAAGGUCCCUAUUCAAAAAUUUUCUAGCAUAUAUUUAAAACUUAAAAAAGUAGUAAUAAAAAGCAAACAAUGCAGAAGGAAUGCAAAAAUCUGACAAUCAUAUUGUUAAUAAAAAUUUACAGAUGUCUUUGGGCUUGUUUUAUUUUGUUGCAUUUGUGGAAAAUUAAGUGGAGGCAAAACACAUUAAAUAAUUCAGAAACAACCUACAUUACUGAAAGAUCCAGAGAAAAUUGUUUCAGCUGCGGUCCAGUUCAAUGGGAAGAGACAAUUCUAUUCAAGGAGAAAGGG